rnacentral:rRNA from 1 species
CAACGGAUCUCUUGGCUCUCGCAUCGAUGAAGAACGCAGCGAAAUGCGAUAAGUAAUGUGAAUUGCAGAAUUCAGUGAAUCAUCGAAUCUUUGAACGCACCUUGCGCUCCUUGGUAUUCCGAGGAGCAUGCCUGUUUGAGUGUCGUGAACGCAUCGAACCCCAUCUUCUGUUCCUGCAUGCAGGUCGGGCUGGGGAUCGGACUUGGACGCCUGCCUUGCACUUGUGCAAAGCUCGUCUUGAAAUGCAUCAGCUGGUUGCCGCGACCACGAACACCGUCUCAAAAUGCCCGGUGUGAUAAUAAAACUUGCACUGCCGCUGACUGGUCGGAUUGUGUCUGCCGUACGCCAACUUCCAAUCGUCCAGCUCUGGACAACGCCCUGCAAGGGGUGUUCACCCAUCUCAUUUGACCUCAAAUCAGGUAGGACUACCCGCUGAACUUAAGCAUAUCAAUAAGCGGAGGAAAAGAAACUAACAAGGAUUCCCCUAGUAACUGCGAGUGAAGCGGGAAGAGCUCAAAUUUGAAAUCUGGCGGUUCCACCGUCCGAGUUGUAGUCUAGAGAA